AUUGAACGCUGGCGGCAUGCCUUACACAUGCAAGUCGAACGGCAGCACGGGGCAACCUGGUGGCGAGUGGCGAACGGGUGAGUAAUGCAUCGGAACGUACCUUUCAGUGGGGGAUAACGUAGCGAAAGUUACGCUAAUACCGCAUAUUCUGUGAGCAGGAAAGCAGGGGAUCGCAAGACCUUGCGCUGAUUGAGCGGCCGAUGUCAGAUUAGCUAGUUGGUGAGGUAAAGGCUUACCAAGGCGACGAUCUGUAGCGGGUCUGAGAGGAUGAUCCGCCACACUGGAACUGGGACACGGUCCAGACUCCUACGGGAGGCAGCAGUGGGGAAUUUUGGACAAUGGGGGCAACCCUGAUCCAGCCAUGCCGCGUGAGUGAGGAAGGCCUUCGGGUUGUAAAGCUCUUUCGGCCGGGAAGAAAUCGCACGGGCUAAUACCCUGUGUGGAUGACGGUACCGGAAUAAGAAGCACCGGCUAACUACGUGCCAGCCGCCGCCGUAAAAC
rnacentral:rRNA from 1 species